AUGAGAAUUUUUGAUGUGCUUCAUGUCUUCAUUUUUUCUGGUGGUUCACAGAGCACAUCAGCACCUACCUGGGAACCAAAUUGGAACUUGAACCCCAUGGUGAUGGUACCCAGUCCACACAGACAUUUGAGAGUGAUAAGUGAUUGAUGCAGCAUCUGGACCUGACAUCUGUGGGGAAACAGAGCUCUGUACACAGAAAAAUGUUCCGUUAUUUGCAGUUUCUUAUUCCUCCGACUCUGGAUAAUUAAAGUCUUACACAUCCGUCUGCAAAGACAGACACCAGAUUCACUGCUGCAGGAUGUUGCAUUUGACGGCGGCGUGUUUAUGGAACAUCAAAAGCCUGUUUCUGACGUGUGCUGCAGACUAGAUGGACCUUGUGGUCAGACAAAGCUGCUCCCAGCUCCUCAGAAGGGUGCGGAGCUCAGAAAAUCACCAGAUUUGGAGACUCCUCAAAUUAAAGUAAUAAGCAUGUUGGGGAUUCAAGUUUAAACUGAGGAGAGAGAUUUGUCUGAGAACAUUUAACACCCUAUGAUACCGGUAAUCCUGUCAUUUGGUACCAUUUCAUUUUUCAGUUUAAUAAGGAAGAGAUGAACCUUCAGUCUCAAGUCAAAUAAAAAGAUUUUCAAAACCA